CACUUGCACUGCGGGUGCCCUCUGGCCCCCACCCCAUCAUCGCGCAACACACCCCCUUCAACAUGCGCGCCCACCCUUUCAUUGCCCUGCGCCCCGAGCGGUCCCACCGCCCGGCAAAACACUGAGCAAGCCGCUGCGCUCACCUUGCUUGACACACUUGAGCCGGAGGGGGUCCUUGCAGUGUUUGAUCACGACCAGCACGUCCCUGAUGGUGAGCCCCGCCACGGGGGUCUCGUUCACCUCCAGCAGCAGCUCCUCCGACACCAACUUGCUGCCGCUCUCAUAGGCCACCUUGCCGGGCUUCACCUCCCCCAGUGUUCCCUUCUUUUCGCCAGGUUUGCAUCCAAGAGAGGGGAGGACAGGGGCAAAAGGAUGCAGGGAGGCUGCUGAUUUCCACUGAAGAGCUAAUUUCCUGUGAGACAUUAACAGUGAUUUAAGAAAAAGAUUCCUGUAACUGUAAUGUCUUACAAUAACAGAAUGCAGGAGAGCACAUAUCAAUGAAGAAAAGACAAAAUGUACUUAUCCAUGAAGCUGAGGUUAAGAAACCAGUGUCUUCAAGAGCCAGGGACAGCACUGGGUCUGUGCAGAGUUGAGAGAUGGUGAUGACAUGUGGUUUCCAGCAUUCCUCGCCCAGUCCAGGGACACUGUGGGUGUGCCCAGCUUAAGUCCAGUCCAGUAACUGGAAAUACAAGCCCAAGUUCUGGAGAGUUUGAGCUG
rnacentral:antisense_RNA from 1 species